rnacentral:rRNA from 1 species
GAAUGCAUGGGAGUACCAGAAAACGCGCGAAGGUCUCUUCAACAGGUAAAAAGUAUUAGGGGGGAUUCCAAUAAAUAGAUAUUUGGGGGUAAUUUGGAGGUUAUACAUGCCAAAAAGACUGUAUAAAUUUGGUUGACAAUUUCAGGUUAUAGAAUUAAAACCAAGGGGUUUGGCCCUAUAAGGUAAAUUUUGAAAAAGGGGUUACCUUCAGAUUAAUUUUUGGGGGGAAGGCGUAUUUGGAUUUGCCCCAUUCAAUAUAUAACCGGGUAUUGGACGGGUUUGGGGUUGCCGGGGAAAGGGGAAAUAGGGGUUGUUUUCCGGGAGAAAGCCCUUAAAAAGGGUUUUACAUUCCAGGGAGGGCGCCGGGGGGGAAAAUUUCCCCUUUCAAUGGGGGGGGGGAAUGGAGGGAAAAAUCCAAUUUCAUUUUUUAUUGGGAGGGACCAUGGGAAGGGUUUAAUUUUAAUUCCAUGAAGAGUUUCAAUGGGGGGGCAAAUUUGGGGGCCACCCCCGCGGUAAUUUCCGGUUUCAUUAUGCCUUGGAAUGGUGGUGGGGGUAAAAAAGUUGGUGGUGCAAAGGUACGGAAUGAGGAGGGUUUACUUUAUUGUUAAUACUAUUUCUACCGUUAAGAGUUUAUAUGGUUAAUACCCAUAUAACUCAGUUACUUUGAGUAAAUCAGAGUGCUUAGAACAAGCGUAUUGCUUGAAUGGUUGUGCAUGGAAUAACAAUACAAUGCAUUGAUAUUUGUUUUGUUGGUUUUAAUGUCAAUGAAUGAUUAAAAGGAACAAACGGGGGCAAAAGUAUCAUAAGGCGAGAGGUGAAAUUCGNGACCCUGAGG